rnacentral:lncRNA from 1 species
GCUGGAUCCUUAAUCUAUUAUGCCAGGCCAGGGAUCGAAGCUGUGUCCCAUGGGAACUCUACCAGCUGGAGAUUUAUGGCACAUCAGCACAAAGCUUCAAAAAUUCCUUGGAGGUAGAAUGAUGCAGUAGAAAACACUCAGGACUCAAAAACUUUUAAAAAUGAUAACACGGCGUGCUGGUGAAAGUGUGGAAAGAAGGGCACACUCAGAUCCUAUUUGUUUGAAGAUAAAUAGCUACCACAUCUCUGAAAAGCAGGUUGGUAAUAUAGCUGAAGGGUCUUAAAAAUGUUUACAUUUUUAAAAAACCUUUUCUUUCCUAGGGAAGUAAUCAAGAAACAGAAAAAAUAUAUAUGUAUGUAUGUAUCUCACACGGUUGCUGAGCAAAUCAAUAUGUUAAUAUAUGUAAAGUACUUAGACUAGUUCCAGGUACCUGGACAGCCCUGCAUAAGUAUUAGCUAAUAAUAAUAGCUGUUACUCCUUCCCUCUUUAAAUCUCCCUAGCUAUAUAAACCUUCUACAAUAUCCUUAUAUUUUAUUUAUAACCAAGAAAAAAUAUUUGACAAAAUAUGUCAAUCCUAAAGAAAUAACCUAAAAUGUUUAAAUGCUUUAUGCUCAAGAUGUUCAUACUAUCACUUACAAUUGUGACAAAUUGGAAAUAACCUACAUGUACAACAAUAAGGGAUUGAUUAGGUAAAUGGUGAUGCCUCCGUAUGAUUGAGCACUUGGCAGAAAUUAAAAAUGAUGAUCCCAAGGAAUUUUUAAUAACUUUUGGGAAUGCUAAUGUGCCUAAGUUAUCAGGGAAAAAAUGACACAAGAUUAUACACGUAUGCUUUCAACUGUGGUCCCUCCAAAAACGGGGGUGGGGAGAACAUGGAAAAAAUGCUAACAAAGUGUUAGCUAACACCUUCUUCCUACACCUAAACUUCGCCUCUGCAGAGGAGUUCAAUAAAUUCCAAGGGACACAAACAUUCAGGGAAUAAGUAGAUGAUAGUUCCUAAAAACAGGGAGCCCAGAAUAGCCCUCUGCCCACAGAACUCAUGGAACACUAAAGCAAGAUGAGGUCUUAGAGGAAUUGGUGCUGAUGGCAUGGGGGAAAGCAUAAGAGCUCUGGACUAAGCCAACCAGCCUUCAAAUCCCACCUGCACUCUUUACCCGCUGGUGUCCUCAGGCAGGUGGUUUAAUCCCUAUAAGCCUCUAUUUCUUCCUCAGGAAACUGAUAGUAAGCAGAUAUUUACACCACAUGUAAAUGAAGCCAUGGGCUAAGCUACACCUAACAGUUCUCAGCAUCUGUGAAUGGUGGAGAUAGAGGCAUUGAUGGUGGAAUUUCCAAGGGUCUCCAUAUCGCCACGAGUAAAUGUGGCUUUCAGAGGUAUAGAGUUCCUGUCAUGGCACAGCAGAAAUGAAUCCAACCAGGAACCAUGAGGUUGCAGGUUGAAAACUGGCCUCACUCAGUGGGUUAAAGAUCCAGUGUUGCCGUGAGCUGUGGUGUAGGUUGCAGAUAUGGCUUGGAUCCCACAUUGCUGUGGCUGUGGUGUACGCUGGCAGCUACAGCUCCAAUUUGACCCCUAGUCUGGGAACCUCCAUAUGCCAUGAGUGAGGCCCUUAAAAAAAAAAAAAAAAAAAAAAAAAGAGAACUGCCUCCCCAAAGACUCUUUUUUCUUGCUUUACCCCCUCCAGCUCCAUUUUCCCUUUUGAAAACAGCUGAAAUUAUCACUUUGAUAUUUAAAAACGCAAGUUACUGUCAUGUGCUUAAAGUAAUAAAUGUUUUAGAGUUUCAAUUAAAUUAAAUGUAGGAAAGCUGGAUCCCUUUUCUAUAUCUAAUGAGUCACACAGACCCAUUACCCCACCAUCCAUUAAUUCUAACAAGGUCAGCUCAUUACCGGUGUCUCCUCAUGACUGUGUAAUGAACCCGGCAGGGCACACUGUGAGCAGACCCACAGACAGGCCUGAAGCCAGGGCCUCUGGAGUUUCUGUGCCAUUUCUCUCACCCACUGAAACUCGGGUCUCCGAGCCGAGGGCAAUGCACACACAUGAAGGCCGGAGGUACCAGGGGAGAUGUGUCUGAGAUUUACACCGCUAGCCUAGGAGACAGGAUAACCAGCUCUUGUUUCUCCUGAUGCUUAAGCACAGCACUCUUUCACAGUUUGCUUCCUAUCUGCUGUUUCUUGCUUCCAAGCUAGAAUCUGUACUUCUUAAAGGAAGAUACUUUAAUAUUUAUUGACCAUCCACUCUGUGUCAGACACAGUGCUGGACACACCACUGGUAUCACCUCGCUGCAGAUGAAGAAGUCUCAGUCUCAGAGUGGUUAAGGUGCUUGCCCAAGGACACAUAGCUAAUACACAGCCCUGACUCCAAACCCUACAGUCUUAACUGCGGAGUUCUUGCUCUCUCUUCAGUUAAGCAUUCUAAAUAGAUGAGAGACAGAGAUCCCUGGACAGAGACCACCCAUCUUAUUUCCUGCUGCAUCUCCAGUGCAUCCUAUAUGGCUAAUGUGAGGAUUAAAUGAGAUAACGGAAGAAAAGCCCUUGACACAGUUUACUGGUGCUAAAACAAAAGCUAAUAUGGUUACAGUGCUGGGCAUUUGGUAGAUUCUAAUAACUAUUUAAAUAGAAUGACACGACUUCAUAUCUUGACUUCAGAAAGCAUCUGCCUCCACCCUGUCAUUCUGCGGUGAGGAAAAUAACUUGGUAAAGAAAACAAAACUAAUUACAGAAGAGGGGUUGAGUUCAAGUCUAUCCUCCCUUCUCUUCCCCAGUGGCUUUAAAACCCAGCUCCCCAUAGGGCUGAAGCUUUGCAGAGUGUUAGGGGAAGUCUCUACAGAAUGAGGAAGAUGAUAAGGAGGAACUACGGUCCUCCACAAAAACCUCCAACCACAGUAAUUCUGCUUUUAUCCAUUUUUAAAUUGAGCUUCGGUACAGUCAUGUCAAAAAGGAGUCUGCUAGUUAAAAAAAAAAUUUGGAAAAGUAGCCUUUAUAUUUCAUUGUUAGAUCAUGCAAAACUAUGUGGAGAAAUAUUAGAGAUUUUACAUACCCCUCUCAAAACUGAUAGAUCAAGUAAACAAAAAAUAAAGAUAUAGAAAUUCUUCUUGAUGCAAUUAAUAACCUAUACCUUGUAAAAUGUAUGAUAUUUUACACCCACCAAUCAAGAAUAUCGAUGCUUUCAAGCACUCAUGAAACUUUUACAAAAAUGAAGGACAAAGGAAAGUUCCAAAUAUCCCAAAGAAUCAAUCAUGUAGAAUAUAUUCUUUGAUCACAGCAGAAUGAAGCUAACAGGUUUUUUGUUUGUUUUGUUUUUUUGUCUUUUUAGGACCACACCAGCAGCAUAUGGAGGCUCCCAGGCUAAAGGUCUAAUCAGAGCUGUAGCUGCUGGCCUACACCACAGCCACAGCCACACCAUAUCCGAGCUGUAUCUGUGACCUACACCGCAGCUCACGGCAAUGCCAGAUACUUAAUCCAUUGAGCAAGGCCAGGGAUCAAACCUGCAUACUAGUCAGGUUUGUUUCCACUGAGCCACAAAAGGGACUUGAAAAAUUAACAAUUUUUUUAAAUUACAGCUUAAGAACUCAGUAUCUGCAAGCCAAAGCAAAAAAAAAUUACUACCAAAUAAUCCUUGGGUUAAAGAGAAAUCCAUGAUGAAAUUAUAAAAACAUUUACAAUCAGAUAACAAUGAAAUCAAUACAUAAUGAUAUUUAUAGAAAAUGGUAAGGCAGUACUAAAAGAAAAUUCUAGCUUUAAAUAUAAUUAAGCUAAAAUUGAAGUAGCAAGCUAAGCUUUCAACUGAAGAGCAUAAGAUAUACCAAAAGAUAACAAGAUUAAUAAAGAAACAUUCAGAAACCAAUGAAUAAAAAAUUUUUUAAAAAUAAUUACAAAAAAGAAAAAAAUCCAAAAUAUGGGCCUUGAAAAUACUAAUAAUGUAGGCAAACUCUGGAAUGGCUGAUUUAAAAUUUUCAAAGGUAUCAUGAAAAUUUUUAAGACCAAAGAUUGAUAUCAAAUAUAAAAUUUUUAUUUUUUAAAUUAUAAAUUAUACGUGAAAAUGAUAAAAAUAUAAAUGAAAUACAUAAAUUCUUAAAAUAUAUAAUUACCAAAAAAGGUACAAAAAUAUGAGAUUUGAAUAAUCUAAUUAACCAUUAAAGAAAUUAAGAUGAUAGUGAAAAUCCUCCUUCUCUCCAGAAAAAAAAAAAAAGUCUGAGAAUUAGAUGAUUUGAUAGAAGAGGUAUAACUUUUGAGGAAGAGCUAACAAUCCAUCUUUAUACAAAUUGUUUUUAAAAGAGAAAGAGAGAAAAAAGAAAACGAGAUUUUGAAUUUUUAUAAGGCUUAUAAAAACUUGACCAAAAACUAGGUAAGAAAAUUACAAGUAAAGGAAAAUAUAUGUCUAUCAAUUCAAUCACAGAUGUGAUAAAUUAGAGUAAAAUGUUGGCUCUUAUUUUUUUCAAACAAUCUGUCAUGAAGCAGUAGUAUUUAUUCAAUAAAAGCAAGUAGGAUUUAACAUCAGGAAAAAAAAUCAAUAUCAUUCUUUAUGAUGACAAACAAAAGGAGAAAAAUCACACUAUUAUCUCAAUAGUUAAAGAACAAGCAUUUUAUAAAAUUCAAUUCCUAUUUAAUUAUGAAAAA